rnacentral:rRNA from 1 species
UACGGAGGAUGCAAGCGUUAUCCGGAUUUAUUGGGUUUAAAGGGUGCGCAGGUUGUUUGAUAAGUCAGUGGUGAAAGUCUGUCGCUUAACGGUAGGAUUGCCAUUGAUACUGUUGGACUUGAAUAUGGAUGAGGUAGGCGGAAUGUGUAGUGUAGCGGUGAAAUGCAUAGAUAUUACACAGAACACCGAUUGCGAAGGCAGCUUACUAAUCCGACACUGACGCUGAGGCACGAAAGCGUGGGGAUCGAACAGGAUUA